GCCCUUUGUUGGAGAACCCGAAUAUAUCCCCCUAGAAAGGCUUGCCAGACAAGGCAUCAACAACAAGAUUUGCAUUUGGUUGGGUGGGUUCGUCCCUGUGGUACUGUCAAAUAGCUGGUGAAAAUCUGAGAGUUUCGAUAUGUUUGCCUGCAUUUGGGAAGCUUCACAAAAAAGUAUUGCAGAUGCCUUCUGUGGGUUUGGGUUAUCAAAUGUUGAACUAAGCGAGCUUGUCUUGUCCUGUGCUCCCUUUUUGCUUUGUAUAAACAUUCUUUUUGGAAAAAGGAAUAUAUAUAUUUAGGAAUCAAUUUCUAAAAUGAUUAAUAGGAAGAGUAACUCUUGGAAUCCGUCAUUUCUAUUACAAUAGUCUUGAUAUUACAGAUAAUAAAAUUCAAACCAUGCCAUGGGCAACAAUUCUUGAAAAGGUUGUCCAGCUACAAAGUUUGCAACAGCUUUGUGUGGUUAAGGAUCUUUCUGCUCAUGAUGUGGUGAUGCAAUUGAUGCAGAAGGAAAACUACUUGAUCAGAAUGCUUAACAAGGGAGUACUUGCAUUUCCAAUCUCAAAAUGGGUCCCUGGUGCUGGUCCAACU